UGUUUGAGACUCGCUUCGUUCUUCCGUUCGGCCUUUCCUUUUGGGGACGUCGUCGGAUUGUUCGGUGUGUCUUAACUAGUGAUGGGACGACGCAUGAGUGGCGAUUGAGAUAUGUUUCCUUGCAGGCUCCAUGCUUUUGCAUCGAACUGCAKUGGCUUAUCUUCUUCAUUAUUGAGCUUGCGUUGUCGUUUCAAGCGUCGAUUGCGAUUGCUCUUUGGGUUCCUGCGUUACAUAUCGAAUUUGACAUUUGGAUGGACUUCUAGUCCGGUCUCGGUUUGUGGAUCCCCGCUCGCUUGGUGCGUCAUCGGUGAUAAUUUUGGUGGCAUUGACGUUGCUCUUACGUGCAGCAGCGACUCAUGUCGAGUUGUGUUCGUUAUGGCACGUCGAUGCAAUCGGCUCUCUCGGGUGCAAAGAAUUUUUGGUCAUCGCAUCGGUCCAAGGCCCUUGUGAGCGUAAGGUUAUACAAUAAUGUUGCUUUUGCAUUCACGACCCUCGUUCUCAUCCAGGAGCUCACGGAGCUUGUUCGCUUUGUGUUGCUUCUCGUGAGCCACGAGGUCGAGGACGGAAUCUACCUGGUUGAU
rnacentral:misc_RNA from 1 species